rnacentral:lncRNA from 1 species
UUCGGGACACUAGUUGAGUGGAUCCACAGAGCUGGUGUUAGUACUCAUGGCAAGGUCCUGACACCCUUCCAACUAGGGUUACAGGUUGGACCCUGAUUAUCUUAGAUUAGGGCAUAUUGGUUAGAUGAUCCCUCCUACAAUCUCAAUUUAGUAGUCAUUACAAAAUUCAGUUUAGGUUUGCUUGACCAUAGCUUACGGUUUAUCAGUUAUUUAGUUACCA